UUCAGGGGGGGAGUCACAUGCAUGCAACCAGCUGCAACGUUGGGUCCGAGUCUUCCGCCAAUGUCACUCUAGUCCCUGUCUUAUUUUAUGGUUUCGCUCCGCUCCGUGAGAGGGGACGCUCAGGGGUGAUCGUGUCCACCGCCCUGGCCAUUUCCCCAUUCCAGAGGUCAACCGGGGCUUCAACAGAAUCACCUGCCGAAGAGCCAUCAGGAACCUAUCUGGGUCCAUCAGGCUCCUGGGGCAGACCAUCCUAAUCGGUCCCCCACCCCUGCAGAGGUUCUGAGUCCCAGUGAGUCUAGACCCAGCCAGAACGAGACCUCGCUUCCUGUAAGGAAGAAAGUGAAAGACUGUUUAUCCAGGUCCCCAAAGAAGAGGAGGAGGAGACCUCAGCAGAACCAGACCUUAUUUCCUGUUGGGAAGGAGGAGAAGAUCCGGUGAUGCAGGAACCCAAAGAAGAGGAGGAGACCUCAGCAGGCUGCCCAGCCCUGAACUGAAGGGAUGCAUCUGAGCCCCCCCACUGAUUUCCAUGGGGCAAUGAAGGCUGCAGUCCUGGGCACACACUUGGAAAUCAUGUGGGAUGAACUCCGAGGGACUUGCUUCUCAGUAAACACCUGCCUGCCACUUUGGCUGGAUUGGGCCUUCAGAGAUACACGGUCAAAAAUAUUAAUUAAAAAAAUCAGUGCAAAGGGUUUCCUCCUUCCCAGGAAAUGAAAGGUCCUCUCCGUCCCCACCAUAUGAACAAUGUCAGUUACACCUGUGAUGUUCCUGCUUAUAUUGUAAAUAUGGUAAGUGCUGGUUAUAUAAAAGACAUAUGGUAAGUGGAGUGGAAGAGGAGGGGGAGUACAUGAGCAGUAGAAUGCUGGAUGAUUGGCUGAGGAUUUGAAUGGCUGGGAGUAUAAAUGGAAGAAUGACAGUUGAAUCAGGGUGGUUGUUGUGGUGGAUGUUGGAGGUUGAGAGAGGUGUUUAGAGGUUGUUGUUGUUGUUGAGAGUGAGUCGGAGUUCUGAGGCAAUUAAUGAGAAGUAAAGUACAUGUCAGAAUAUAGAUGAAACCAUAUGCUUGUAAACAAAGUCUUAAGUAAUCUUGUUACUUCUAAUACUAAAUAAAUAUUUCUUGGUUAAACAAAA